rfam:Lutzomyia longipalpis Contig24475, whole genome shotgun sequence.
AAAAAUGCCCUUUUCAGGGCAAAAAAAGACAUUAAAUAAAGAGUUUU